rnacentral:siRNA from 1 species
UGGUAAUUACAACGAGGACUA